rnacentral:rRNA from 1 species
UACGAAGGGGGCUAGCGUUGCUCGGAAUCACUGGGCGUAAAGCGCACGUAGGCGGAUCUUUAAGUCAGGGGUGAAAUCCUGGAGCUCAACUCCAGAACUGCCUUUGAUACUGGAGAUCUCGAGUCCGGAAGAGGUGAGUGGAACUCCGAGUGUAGAGGUGAAAAUUCGUAGAUAUUAGGAAGAACACCAGUGGCGAAGGCGGCUCACUGGUCCGGUACUGACGCUGAGGUGCGAAAGCGUGGGGAGCAAACAGG